CGUGAAGGUGCUUUGAUGUGACCAGGAGAACAGAAGGAUAUUUUGUGCAUAGCUGACCGUGAGAGGAAUGCUGGUUUUGCAAUGAGGAAGCACAGGAAGAUGACAGAACAAUGAGCAUAAGACAUGCUGGGUGCAUUUUUUGGACCUUACCACAUCUUGUUUGAGAGAAGUGGGACCAAUGCUGAUGAAACUCUUUCCCAUGGUGUGUUCUAUAUUCAUUGGAUGGGCAUCGCCUACGGCUGGAGCAGGGCUGAGCUCUGUACUGGUGUCUCUUAAAACACACCAGACAGCAACAGCUGAGAUACCUACUACCUGGAUCUGCUUGAUUAGAUCAUACGGUCAUAUUUGAUUACUUAGAAUGGGUAAGGAAAAAUACCAUUCCAAGGUCAAUUUAAUGGCCUAGAUCUUCCUUCCUAAAACUGGAAGGUGAAUCUCUGCCUCUUAAAUCUAUAGGUCUUUCUGGGGGCAAGACUUCUGACUAUUCUGAUAUCUCCUUGGAAUCUAUGGAAAUCUCAUUAUUUUUGUUCACUCACAUAAAGGAGUAGUUACCCCAGGAAUGGAUACCUCCUGAUGCUCUAUGCUUAGGAGAAAAGGCUAAGUCUUUCUAAUGAAUAUCAACAUCUUGACCUGCCAGGUUCACCAGCAUGAGGCUCUCUCCUGUGCCUAAGUCCUACAACUGAGACAAAGCCCUAGG
rnacentral:lncRNA from 1 species